rnacentral:rRNA from 1 species
UUAGACCGAUAGCGAACAAGUACAGUGAUGGAAAGAUGAAAAGAACUUUGAAAAGAGAGUGAAAAAGUACGUGAAAUUGUUGAAAGGGAAGGGUUUGAGAUCAGACUCGAUAUUUUGUGAGCCUUGCCUUCGUGGCGGGGUGACCCGCAGCUUAUCGGGCCAGCAUCGGUUUGGGCGGUAGGAUAAUGGCGUAGGAAUGUGACUUUACUUCGGUGAAGUGUUAUAGCCUGCGUUGAUGCUGCCUGCCUAGACCGAGGACUGCGAUUUUAUNCAAGGAUGCUGGCAUAAUGAUCCCAAACCGCCCGUCUUGAAACACGGACAAAGGA